AUACGUAGGUGACAAGCGUUAUCCGGAUUUACUGGGCGUAGAGGGCGUGUAGGUGGUCUUGCAAGUCAGAAGUGAAAUUCCUGAGCUCAACUCGGGCGCUGCUUCUGAAACUGCAGGACUUGAGUGCUGGAGGGGAUAGCGGAAUUCCUAGUGGAGCGGUAAAAUGCGCAGAUAUUAGGAAGAACACCGGUGGCGAAGGCGGCUAUCUGGACAGUAACUGACGCUGAGGCGCGAAAGCGUGGGGAGCAAACAGGAUUGGAUACCCUGGUAGUCCACGCCGUAAACGAUGAAUGCUAGGUGUAGGGGGUAUCGACCCCUUCUGUGCCGCAGUCAACACAAUAAGCAUUCCGCCUGGGGAGUACGGCCGCAAGGUUGAAACUUAAAUGAAUUGACGGGG
rnacentral:rRNA from 1 species